UUUCCGUAGGUGAAUCUGCGGAAGGAUCAUUAUUGGAUUUUGAAACUUCAGGCUGCUGCUGGCUCUCCUCGGAGGGCAUGUGCACGCUUGUUGUCCAUUAUUUCUCCCACUGUGCACAAAUUGUAGACCUUUCAGUAGGCCUAUGUUGUUUUUCACAAUCUCUGAAUGUAAUAGAAUGGUUUUGAAUCUUGGGAAAUACAAUACAACUUUCAGCAACGGAUCUCUUGGCUCUC
rnacentral:misc_RNA from 1 species